rnacentral:piRNA from 1 species
UGAGAUUGUCUUCACUCCUCAAAGCACACU